AUUGAACGCUGGCGGCAUGCCUAACACAUGCAAGUCGAACGGAGGUAGGGGCAACUCUACUUCAGUGGCGGACGGGUGAGGAAUGCGUCGGAAUCUACCCUAUGGUGGGGGAUAACACAGGGAACUUGUGCUAAUACCGCAUAAUGUCGAGAGACCAAAGCAGGGGACCGCAAGGCCUUGCGCGAUAGGAUGAGCCGACGCCCGAUUAGCUAGUUGGUAGGGUAAAGCCUACCAAGGCGACGAUCGGUAGCUGGUCUGAGAGGAUGAUCAGCCACACUGGAACUGAGACACGGUCCAGACUCCUACGGGAGGCAGCAGUGAGGAAUAUUGCGCAAUGGGGGCAACCCUGACGCAGCAACGCCGCGUGAGUGAGGAAGGUUUUCGGACUGUAAAAGCUCUGUCGAGCGGGAAGAAAUGUAACCAUGGCUAAUAAUCCCAUGAUAUUUGACGGUACCGCUAGAGGAAGCACCGGCUAAACUCCCGUGCCC
rnacentral:rRNA from 1 species